CCGCCAUGCCUGAGCUUCCCCCCGCCCCCGCCGUGGGCUCCUGUGCGGCCCGAGCCUCCCCGACGAGCGCCGCCCCCUGCUCCACGAUGCCCAGUCCCAUCGACCACCCAAGGGCUGAGGAGUGCGGGCUCACGGUUACAGGAUUCCCAUUUCAGAACUACGACCAUUUGAAAAAUAGAAGAUUUAAAGAUUGACGCAAAGUGCAUGUACCAUGAUACACCAGACGGAGUCUCACUCUCUCGCCCAAGCUGGAGUACAGUGGCGCAAUCUCGGCUCACUGCAAGCUCCGCCUCCCGGGUUCACACCAUUUUCCUGCCUCAGCCUCCCGAUUAGCUAGGACUACAAGCGCCCGCCACCACGCCCGGCUAAUUU
ensembl:lncRNA novel transcript